CUUGGUCGAAGCCGCACUUUUGAGGCACCUCAGGAUGAACGCGGAGCUCGCUUUGUUUACCGACGCGUCCGAAUAAAGCAUCGGCGCGAUCUUACAACAGCGAGGCAGCGACGGCUGGGAGCCGUUAGUUUUCUUCUCGAAGAAGCUAAGUCCAGUCGAAUUAAAAUAUAGCGUUUUCGAUAGAGAGCUGUUGGUGAUAUACCUGGUGGUCAAGCAUUUUCAACAUUUGUUGGAUGCACGCAUAUUCGCGAUACAUAAGCCGAUAAUUUUACUUUUCGACAGAAACUCUUCGAGAAGAGCUUGCCGCGCCAGUUCCGUCAUUUGGACUAUAACGGACAAUUUACUACUGACAUUCGGCACGUGACGGGCGAGAAGAAUGUCGUGGUGGACUGUCGAGGACGCACUGUCGAGGAUCGAGGAGUUGCGUUCUUUUGCUGCACUGGCGGAGUCGCAGGAAGAUGACGAGAAGCUCAAGAGGUAUUUGCAGUGAGAGUCUGAACUUUGGUCUCGACAAGGUGAAGAUUCCCGGAACCGGAAUAGCAAUAUACUGCGACACAGCAACGCUAACGCCAUGACCGUUUUUUAAUAAGGCCUUUUUGCCGAACCGCAUUCGACCUGGUGCAUAACCUGGCGCAUCCAGGAAUAAAAUCGACGACAAUCCAAGGUGUCGCGGUAUGUCUCGGCACCGCUAGAUUUGCUGCUCCAUCCAGCAGAUUCGAGCACAUCCACCUGAACAUCAUCAUAAUGGCAGUCUCACAGGGUGAUAUUGUUUCACGUGUGUGGAGUGUUUCACACGAUGGCCUGAAGCGGUUGCGAGAGUGUUCUACGAGGGAUGGAUCUGCCGAUUCGGGUCGCCUCUCUAAUUUACGAUGGCCAGUUCGAGUCCAAUCUUUUCCGACGGCUGAGCGAGAUCACGAGAGCACGAUACUUGAGGACGACGGCAUACCACCCACAGGCGAACGGAAUGGUCGAACGGUUCUAUCGCCAGCUCAAGGCGGCGAUCAAGUGCCAGCAAAACAGCCGCUAGACCGAGGUGCUGCCGACUGUUCUACUCGGGAUCCGAGCAACAUGGAAGGACGACAUAUGGGCGACUAUAGUCGAGCUGGUGUAUGGCCAGACAUUGAGAAUCCCGGGACAGUUCCUGAGUCGGCGACUGACGAAUGACGAGGACGACGCCGCCGAUUUUGCUGGAGCGCUAAGCAAAUAGCUUCAGAGACUGCGACCGAUGGACGGGAUUCGACACGGCGAGCGACGGCCGUUCGUUUGCAGGGAUUUGGCGACGGCCGAGCAGAUUUUCAUGCGACAGGGCGGACCAAAGACAAUGUUGCAGGCGCCAUGUGAAGGACUAUACGCGGUAGUCAGCCGCAGCGACAAGGUCAUUGUCGUGCGUGUGCACGGCAAGGGCAAAACGAUUAUAAUAAACCGUCUAAAGCCCGUGUAUAUUCUUUAAGAGCACGAGUUAGGAGGCAGCGGGGAGGAGUCGGCAACGCAUGGCCAUGAUGACGAGAUCGAUCGAUGGAGUGCGCGCCGGCUUGGGGAGAGAUGCCAAUUCACCCAUAGCAACGGGCAACGGGCAACCGUGUGUGGUGGAGAAAGAGAUAAUUUGGAGCAGUUGAUACAACAAUUGUUGCAGCAACAAAAUAUAAUAAUAGGACAAGUACAAUCAUUGUUACGGCAGCAGCAGCAAGAACAACAUGCAGCAGCAGCAGCUGCAGCCGCCGGAAUGCAAGCCGCCGGCCAAAAAAAGAAACACAAUAAAUCGUGCCAGGUUUUUUAAAUGGCGGGAUAGCAGAGCACGAAGUUCGACACCGACACCGACGACAUCGACCGCUAAUGUCUCCAGCGACCGAGAAGAAAGAGGUACCCGAGGAAGAGGCGGCCGCAGU